CCCUUAGAUGUUCUGGGCUGCACGCGCGCUACACUGAUGCACUCAACGAGUUUACGACCUUGCCCGAUAGGGUUGGGUAAUCUUUUUAAAAUGCAUCGUGACGGGGAUAGAUUAUUGCAAUUAUUAAUCUUCAACGAGGAAUUCCUAGUAAGCGCGAGUCAUCAGCUCGUGCUGAUUACGUCCCUGCCCUUUGUACACACCGCCCGUCGCUCCUACCGAUUGAGUGCUCAGGUGAAUAAUUCGGACUGCAGCAAUGUUUGGAUCCCGAACGUUGCAGCGGAAAGUUUAGUGAACCUUAUCACUUAGAGGAAGGAGAANUCGUANCA
rnacentral:rRNA from 1 species